rnacentral:pre_miRNA from 1 species
AAAGUACUCCCUCCGUCCCAAAAUUCUUGUCUUAGAUUUGUCUAGAUACGGAUGUAUCAAGUCNAUACGGAUGUAUCAAGUCACAUUUUAGUAUUAGAUACAUCCGUAUCUAGACAAAUCUAAGACAAGAAAUUUGGGACAGAGGGAGUAGUUG